GACGAACGCUGGCGGCGUGCUUAACACAUGCAAGUCGAACGGAAAGACCCUGCUUUUGUGGGGUUCUCGAGUGGCGAACGGGUGAGUAACACGUGAGUAACCUGCCCUUGUCUUUGGGAUAACUUCAGGAAACUGGGGCUAAUACCGGAUAGAAGCUCCUGCUGCAUGGUGGGGGUUGGAAAGUUUCGGCGGUUGGGGAUGGACUCGCGGGUUAUCAGCUUGUUAGUGGGGUAGUGGCUUACCAAGGCUUUGACGGGUAGCCGGCCUGAGCGGUUGACCGGCGACAUGGGGCCUGAGAGAGGGCGCAGACGCCAACGGGAGGCAGCAGUCGGGAAUAUUACACAAUGGGCGGAAGCCUGAUGCAGCGACGCCGGGUGCGGAAUGACGGCCUUCGGGUUGUAAACCGCUUUCGCCUGUGACGAGGCGUGAGUGACGGUAAUGGGUAAAGAAGCACCGGCUAACUACGUG
rnacentral:rRNA from 1 species